rnacentral:tRNA from 1 species
GGGGAUGUAGCUCAGUUGGUAGAGCCCCCGACUUUUAAUCGGGUGGUCAUGGGUUCAAGUCCCAUCAUCCCCACCA